rnacentral:rRNA from 1 species
CAGCAGCCGCGGUAAUACGAAGGGGGCUAGCGUUGUUCGGAAUUACUGGGCGUAAAGCGCACGUAGGCGGACAUUUAAGUCAGGGGUGAAAUCCCGGGGCUCAACCCCGGAACUGCCUUUGAUACUGGGUGUCUAGAGUAUGGAAGAGGUGAGUGGAAUUCCGAGUGUAGAGGUGAAAUUCGUAGAUAUUCGGAGGAACACCAGUGGCGAAGGCGGCUCACUGGUCCAUUACUGACGCUGAGGUGCGAAAGCGUGGGGAGCAAACAGGAUUAGAUACCCGCGUAGUCCCUGUCUCUUAUAC